ensembl:lncRNA
GGGGUGCUGUGGGUCUCUAUGGGGUCUCUAUGGGUCUCUAUGGGGCACUAUGGGGUGCUGUGUGUCCCUAUGGGUCUCUAUGGGGUCCUGUGGGUCUCUAUGGGGCACUAUGGAAUCUCUAUGGGGUCCUGUGGGUCUCUAUGGGGUCUCUAUGGGGCACUAUGGGGUGCUGUGGGGUCUCUAUGGGGUGCUGUGGGGUUUCUAUGGGGCACUAUGGAAUCUCUAUGGGGUGCUGUGGGUCUCUAUGGGGUCUCUAUUGGGCACUAUGGGGUCUCUAUGGGGCACUGUAGGUCCCUAUGGGGUCUCUAUGGGGCACUAUGGGGUGCUAUGGGGUCUCUAUGGGGUGAUGUGGGUCUCUAUGGGGUCUCUAUGGGGCACUGCAGGUCUCAAUGGGGCACUGUAGGUCCCCAUGGGGUGUCUAUGGGGCACUAUGGGGUCUCUAUGGGGUCUCCAUGGAUCUCUAUUCCCCUACAUCCCUAUGGGGCUCCUAUAUACCACUAUAGGGUCCCUAUAGAUCCUUAUGGGGUCCCCAUGUGUUCCUAUACACUGCUAUAGGGUCCCGAUACGUCCCUGUAGGGAUCCUAUAUGUCCCUAUAUGUCUCUAUACGGAUCCUAUAUGGCCUUAUAAGGAUCCUAUAUAUCCCUGUGGGGUCUCUACAGCUCCCUAUAUGUCCCUAUAGGAUCCCUAUAUGUCCCUAUAAGGAUCCCAUUUAUCGCUAUAGGGUCCCUACAGGUCCCUACAUGUCCCUAUAAGAUCCCCAUAUGUCCCUAUAAGGAUCCCAUAUGUCCCUAUAGGGUCCCUACAGCUCCCUAUAUGUCCCUAUACGAAUCCUAUGCGUCCCUAUAAGGAUCCUAUAUGUCCCUAUGGGGUCCCCAUGUAACCCUUUGUGUCCCUAUGGGGUCCCUAUAUCUCCCUACAAGGAUCCCAUAUGUCCCUAUGGGGUCCCUAUAUGUCCCUACAAGGAUCCCAUAUACCCCUAUGGGGUCCCUACAGGUCCCUAUAUGUCCCUAUAGGUUCCCUAUAUGUCCCUAUAAGGAUCCUAUAUAUCCCUAUGGGGUCUCUACAGCUCCCUAUAUGUCCCUAUAGGAUCCCUGUAUGUCCCUAUCAGGAUCCCAUAUAUCGCUAUAGGGUCCCUACAGGUCCCUACAUGUCCCUAUAAGAUCCCCAUAUGUCCCUAUAAGGAUCCCAUAUAUCCCUGUGGGGUCCCUACAGGUCCCUAUAGGAUCCCUGUAUGUCCCUAUAAGGAUCCCAUAUGUCCCUAUAGGGUCCCUACAGCUCCCUAUAUGUCCCUAUAGGAAUCCUAUGCGUCCCUAUAAGGAUCCUAUAUGUCCCUAUGGGGUCCCCAUGUAACCCUUUGUGUCCCUAUGGGGUCCCUAUAUGUCCCUACAAGGAUCCCAUAUGUCCCUAUGGGGUCCCUAUAUGUCCCCAUAAAGAUCCCAUAUGUCCCUAUAGGGUCCCUACAGGUCCCUACGUGUCCCUGUAGGAUCCCUAUAUGUCCCUAUAAGGAUCCCAUAUAUCGCUAUAAGGUCCCUACGGGUCCCUAUAUGCCCCUAU